AUGGAAUCAGUAGAUGAUUAUACUGCAGCCCACAUUGGUGGCCACAGACUUAAGAUUUUUGCCCAGCGCCCGACUGAGGGCAUGCGUGGUGGCAUCCUUCUGCUAUGGGAUGAUGAGGUGGUCCAUUUGUCCAACGUCCACUUUCGAGCGUUCACCCUUUCAGCCACGGUUACUUUGUACCCCCAGAGCCCGGCUCCUAUUUCCUUCAAGCUAACCACGGUAUAUGGACCGACUAGAAGUAACCUCAAGGAUGCCUUCUUCGCCGAACUUGUCGCUGAAAAGCCACCCCCGGGUACCAUGUGGUUGGUCACAGGAGACUUCAACCAAAUUUAUCGGGCGCGAGAUAAAAAUCGUGCAAAUGUAGAUCGGAGCCGCAUUGUCAGGUUUCAAGAUGCUCUCAACUCCUGUGAGCUGAAAGAGAUUCAUCUCCAGAAUAGGAGAUUCACUUGGAGUAAUGGACAGAAUGAGCCCACCUUGAGCAAGUUAGAUAGUUUUUCCUGCAAUGAAGACUGGGACUUGGAGUUUGGCUCCCACAUCCUGCAUGCUUUAUCAUCCUCCCUUUCUGACCACUGUCCCCUUCUGCUUGCAUCCGCGAACAGCCCGAAGCACUUCAAAUGCUUCCUCUUUGAGAAUUUCCGGAUCAAGAUGUCAGUUUUUUUGGCAACUUUCCAAGGUGCGUGGAAUGAAGGCCACAACCAUACCGAGCUAUACCACAUCCACAAGCUCAAGAAAACUAGCAUCAGGCUAAAGGCUUGGAGCAAAUCCCUCUUCUCCAACAUGAAAGUCCAAUUACACAUGGCCCUGGAGGUCAUCCUCCGCCUUGAUAUUGCGCAAGAGUCUAGGUCUCUAAGCCCGGAGGAGAUCGAUCUUCGGAAGAGACUAAAGAGGAGGGUGGUUGGCCUGGAUGUGCUUGAAAAGGCCCGAAAACGACAAAUAUCUAGAAUAACAAACAUUAAAGAGGGGGACGAAAACACUAAGUUCUUUCACCUUCGAAUCAACCGCCGGCGAAGAAUUUUUUAUUCACCGCCUUAG
rnacentral:rRNA from 1 species